rnacentral:rRNA from 1 species
ACCUCGGAUCAGGUAGGGAUACCCGCUGAACUUAAGCNNNUCAAUAAGCGGAGGAAAAGAAACCAACAGGGAUUGCCCCAGUAACGGCGAGUGAAGCGGCAAGAGCUCAAAUUUGAAAGCUGGCUCCUUCGGGGUCCGCAUUGUAAUUUGCAGAGGAUGCUUCGGGAGCGGUCCCCAUCUAAGUGCCCUGGAACGGGCUGUCAUAGAGGGUGAGAAUCCCGUAUGGGAUGGGGUGUCCGCGCCCGUGUGAAGCUCCUUNGACGAGUCGAGUUGUUUGGGAANGCAGCUNUAAAUGGGUGGUAAAUUUCAUCUAAAGNUAAAUAUUGGCCGGAGACCGAUAGCGCACAAGUAGAGUGAUNGAAAGAUGAAAAGCACUUUGAAAAGAGAGUUAAAAAGCACGUGAAAUUGUUGAAAGGGAAGCGUNUGNGACCAGACUCGCCUACGGGGNUCAGCCAGCGUUCGGGCUGGUGUACUUCCCCGUGGGCGGGCCAGCGUCG